rnacentral:rRNA from 1 species
UACAGAGGUCUCAAGCGUUGUUCGGAUUCAUUGGGCGUAAAGGGUGCGUAGGUGGCGCCGUAAGUCAGGUGUGAAAUUUCGGAGCUUAACUCCGAAACUGCAUUCGAUACUGCGGUGCUUGAGGACUGGAGAGGAGACUGGAAUUCAUGGUGUAGCAGUGAAAUGCGUAGAGAUCAUGAGGAAGACCAGUGGCGAAGGCGGGUCUCUGGACAGUUCCUGGCACUGAGGCACGAAGGCCAGGGGAGCAAACGGG